GGCGAUGCAGUCCUUGACCUGCUGCGUGCUGUAGGCGAACUGCUGCUUCUUGGCGGCGACGGAGUUGAGGUAGGCGGCGGCGCCCUCGCGGAGGAGGUCGCCGUAGCAGUCGCUGCGGGUGUUGCACAGCGCGUCCUGCAGCGUCUGCACCUUGCUCCCGAAGAAGGCGCUGCACACGUCGCCCAGGGACCCCAGGAUGCUGCCCAGCGACCCGAUGCACGAGAUGAUCGCGUCCGGGUGGCUCUUCCAGUAGCUGCAAAUUAAAGUACGUACUCAACAAAUAAAAUUUCAUCUUCAUAUUAGUGGGUGCACGUACGUCGUUUCAAAUAAGCACGAAAUUUAUAUAUAUCUCGAUGCAUGCAUGUGUGUACUAUAUAUAUAAAGCUCGGUUCUUUGCUUCUUACUCGCAGGUCCCGGUGCCAGAGUAGGCGGGCGUGUAGCCACCGCCGCCGCCUCCGUACCCGCUGCCACCGCCGCCACCUCCGUACCCGCCAUACCCACCACCGCCACCGCCGCCACCAUACCCGCCGCCGCUGCCACCUCCUCCGUACCCACCGCCACCGUCUGUUUGGACAACAAAUUAAACAACAGACAGCACGGCGCAUGAUUAUAUAUUACUAGCUAGAGAAAAGGAAGCAUAUGUAUAUAGCAGAUUGAGAGACGCAGCACGUACACUUCUGUUCAGCAACGUGAUCGCCGCCCUGCAGGCCCCUACUGCCUGAGCACCGAGAGGCGGCUACGCCCACCAAGAGGACGGCGACAAGGAGAACCUUGCCGCUCAUCUUGCUAGGUACCUCUCGCUCUCCUGAUCUCCUCCUGUAUGUUUUUCAGAUCGAAAAAGACUACCAAUAACUGGAAGAGAACGAAAGAGAAGAGCACCGGCAGAUGCUGAACGAAGCGAGUGUGCACUGGGACACUGAACCCGCAGGCCGGGUUUAUAUAGAGGCGCGCUGGAUGGCGCCGGGCACCACCGGCACCACCUGCACUUGAGCCGUGCCGCCGUUGCAUGCGCCGUGCGGUCCUGGCACACUGCCACGGCUUUGUAGAGUAGUUGGCUGCCACUGAAUGCCUACUUCCAUCCAUCCAGCUCGAUCAAUGCUACGGCCACGGGUGACGGAUUCUCCUGGAUCUUAAGGGCAAAUGACUUGUUGGCUGAAUGAACCUGCUGAGAGCCAAUUCUGUGACUUGGCGUCUGAGUCUGUCAGUGUACCGAUUCAGACAAUCAGUAACAUUGAGAUAAAUAGAAGAGGCAUGCAUGUGCAGUCAAUACUGUAACUACAUAUAUGCCUGGGAAAUUUAAGUUCAUGUGUAAAAAAUGCUGGUAAUAACUUUUGUAAUGGAGUACAAUGCAGGUGUUGC
rnacentral:lncRNA from 1 species